CCUACGGGUGGCAGCAGUGAGGAAUAUUGGUCAAUGGGCGCGAGCCUGAACCAGCCAAGUAGCGUGAAGGAUGAAUGCCCUACGGGUUGUAAACUUCUUUUAUAAAGGACUAAAGUGAGGCACGUGUGCCUUUUUGUAUGUACUUUAUGAAUAAGGAUCGGCUAGCUCCGUGCCAGCAGACGCGGUAAGACGGAGGAUCCGAGCGUUAUCCGGAUUUAUUUGGUUUAACGCGAGAGUAGAUGGGUUGUUAAGUCAGUUGUGAAAGUUUGCGGCUGAACCGUAAAAUUGCAAUUGAUACUGGCAGCCUUGAGUACAGUUGAGGUAGGCGGAAUUCGUGGUGUAGCGGUGAAAUGCUUAGAUAUCACGAAGAACUCCGAUGGCGAAGGCAGCUUACUAAACUGCCACUGACAUUGAUGCUCGAAAGUGUGGGUAGCAAACAGGAUUAGAGACCCGUGUAGUC
rnacentral:rRNA from 1 species